rnacentral:lncRNA from 1 species
CGAAUUAUCUUUUGAUUUCUUCACUGAAUAUAAUCUUUCCGCAGUGCCAUCCGUCACAUACCGAUUCAAAAUCCCUAAAUAAAACCCAUAACUUGGAUAGAUUACGGAGCUCUUCUCCUCUUCACUCAAAACUUUCGCAAUUUAGAAGUCUUAUACUCCCUUGUCCUAUAUGCUUGGUCUUUGCAGAAAAUUCAAAAAGUUUCUCCCCCAAGAGCAUAGUAGUCAUAUUUGAUUUUUGCUUAUUCAUUAAGUUUCCUCUAAAUCUCUAGUAUCAUUGCGUCCAAUGACUAGAGUAAAGACUAAUAAGCCCUUUCCAGGUUCCACUCUGCUCAAUAUUUUGCCGCCUAGAAUUUCUCAAAUCAUUGGUGUCAUAUGCCUAAUGUAAGGACUACCAUGCCAUUUCUAUUCUGCCUGAUGCCUAUUAUAAAUGUUAUUAUUUAUUAUUUUUAAGUUAAAGACUUAGUCUUUGUUUAUUCUUACACGAGAAUAAAGGCCUUGCUAAUCUCUAUGUUGUUAGCUAAUUUUAUCGUCUGUACGAUAGUCCUACUUUCUAGGAAUAAUGGCAGAUUUUUAUGUAAUUUGGUUUAUUCUCAUGGUUAUAAAUAGCCAAUUUCUCAAUUCAAUUUAUGCAUCAGAUAUUCAUUCUUGUGUAGUUGGUUUUUUCAUCUUUUUGGGUCAAUUAUAGAAAGAUAAAGGCAAUACCUUUUCUUACCCAUUUAAGAGUAUGUACUGCUAUUUACAUUUUCUAUCAAAAAUAUCGGAGCCAGUUUUAUACUAAAACAAUUGUGCUACAAAAACAGGGAUUCCAGGCAAUAAGUGUCAACAUCUAAAUUGGAAGAUUGA